ACCGCUCACGGCGUCGGUUGCCCGGGCAAUGGGCCGCACGCUACGAGGCCCACACACCCAGAAGGUGGAGCCCCGGCCGGGUUACGAGGACCACCCAGCUGUCUGGAGAGAUGAAGAAAAUGAGGUUCAAAGAGAUGAAGUCUCUUGCCUAAAGUCAGUGACAGAAAGUGACAGAGCUGGGAUGUGAAUCCUGGUCUGACUCUACAGUCCCACAUGGUAGAUGGAACCUCCGAGCAACACCUAAACAAAAGGAGUUGAUGCCUCCGAACAGAGUAAUGUCGCUGGAGACACUAAGCAUCGUCGGCCCCUGGCAGGAGCUCCCUAAAUAUGUGUUGGAUGGAUGGAAGAAAGGAUGGAUAGUUCAGAGUACUUCAGCCUUGAUUCCUCCGCAACAGACACCUGAAACUUGACCCUACAUUGGUUCUUGGCCAUCGUGAUCUUCCUUGGACAGAAUCACCUUUCAGCUCCGGUCAUCAGACUUUCCCAGGGCCCUCAGAAAGCCCUUCAGAGUUGUUACUCACAGGCAGGCUGAGGGAUUCCUUACGGGGUCUGCAGCUCUCCUCACCUCAUCCACAAGUAGGACCGUGGCCUGUUCCUCACUACUGCCCCAGGAUCACUCUGUUCCCAGCCCAGUCCAGCAAUCACUUGUCUAGCUUUCUGGAACCUUGAGUACUUUCUUGAACCAUGAGUCCUGUGACCACCCUAGCAGCUCUAACCCUCCCUUAUCUGAAAGGAAGUGUGAGGUGACCUUGCAGGUCCCAGAGUUGAUUGAAGACCCCAUCCAGAAAGAAGGCACCCUGUGGGAGAGAUUGCAAGGCCUAGGUCUGAAUCCGGAAGCUUCCACCCCAUGGAGAAGGGCUGGCACCAGCCUGGGGCUGGCAGUGGAGCUGAGCUUUGGAGCCAAGGACUGUACUGCAGUGCAGGGAGAGUGAGGCCAGAAAGGCUGAGACAACUCAGGGAAAGAAAACCUCCCUUCUGGCUAAUAGUCAAGCACCGCCUGAGUAGACCAACACUCUCCUGUCCACAGGGGCAGCAGAUGAAGACACAACCAGAGAGGACUAACAGGCCCCCUCAGCUCUCAGUCAGAGGGCAGAGCAACACAGAAUAGACAUUAAAGGAACAGACUUUGAGGCCAGGCAGCCUUGGGUGUGCAUCUGUCCCUACUAAGCCAUGUGACAUUAAACAAGUGAGUCCACCUCUCUGAGCCUCAGGUUCCUCAUCUGUAAAAUGGGGAUUAUAAGAGUUCUUGUUUCUCAGGGACAAUGUGAGGAUUAAGUGAGAUGAUACACAUAGAGAAUGUGGUGCAGUACUGGGCACAUGGCAAAGAUCAGUGAUGCUAGCUACCACUUAUCAUUAGUGUUCCUGUAGACCAGGACUUCUCAACCUUGGCACUAUUCACCUUUUGGGCCAGAAAGUUUUUUUUGUUGUUGUUGUGGGGAGCUGUCCUAUGCAUUUGAGGAUGUUUAACAGCACCCCUGGCCUCUACCCACUAGAUGCCAAUCACACCACACCCCCAGUUUCAACAACCAAAAAUGUCUGCAGAUGGUGCCGAAUGUCUUCUGGAGGGUGAAAUCACUCCCCAGCAGUUGAAAAGCACCACCCUAAACAAUCUGGACUGAAUUUGAAUGUCACAGAUCCCAAGCUCACAGCUCCAUGUAAAGGCCACAAGGCAGGCAGGCCUACUUGCAGAUGAAGGAACGGAAAGAGCAACAAUUACAGAUCAAGCGGCUAGCUCCGGUGUAGACUAAGAGGCGGGAUCUGUAGUCUGCUCUAGGAGCUAACAAGGCCUCUGUGACUCAGUAGGUGACCUCAGUGUCACUCUUUAAUUAUAUGCAAAGUGGUCUUGUGUUAACUCUUAAUUAUUCUAGGGCUCCAAACAAGAAAAUAGGUAGUUGGUAUCUGAUUUCUGGCAUCAAGAUCCUGAUUCAUUGACUGGGAGAAAAUCUGACUCUCCAAAACUCUUUCAGAGUUCAUUUAGCCCUUCAUUUAUGACUCUGGGGAGAUUUCUGAGCGAGAGCUAGGUGUCAGGCCCUGUUCCAGGUGCUGGAGAUGCACAAGAGAACAAAAUAGGCAAAGUUUCCUUUUUAUGGAACUUAUAGCAGGAGAAUAAAGAUAAAAACAAGCAAAAAUAUUUAUCUCUGAUAAGGGCAAUGGAUAAAAAUAAAGUAGAAUAGGCCAGGCACGGUGGCUUACGCCUGUAAUCCUAGCACUUUGGGAGGCCAAGGCGGGCAGAUUGCCUGAGCUCAGGAGUUCGGGACCAGCCUGGGCAACACGGUGAAACCCCGUCUCUACUAAAAUACAAAAAAUUAGCUGGGCGUGGCAGCGUGCACCUGUAGUCCCAGCUACUUGGGAGGCUGAGGCAGGAGAAUUGCUUGAACCUGGGAGGCAGAGGUUGCAGUGAGCUGAGAUCGCGCCACUGCACUCCAGUCUGGGUGACAGAGAGAGACUCCACCUCAAAAAAAUUUAAAAAAGUAGACUAAGAGAACCAAGCAUCGCUGGGUGAGGGGUCUUGUUUUAAAGAGUUUUCUAGGAAGACCUCUCUGAGAAGGCACCAUUUGAGCCAAGACUUGAUGACCUGGCUACUGCAUGAGGAUGGAAGGUGGGGAAGCUGAUGGGAGCAGCGAGAGAGGUGGGAGCAGUUAGAGGCUAUUGCAGCAGUCCAGGUAAGAAGGAAUGGUGGCUUGGACAAGGAGGUGGUAGCAGAGAUAGGGCAGAGAUGGCCAGAUUCCAGAUGUAUUCUGAAGGUAGAGCUGACAGAUUUGCUGAGCAAUUGGAUGCAGAAUAGGAGGGAACCAGAGGCAGUCAAGGAUGACUCCAGACUUGUGAGCUGAACAAUGAGAAGAAUAGAUUGAGAUGGGGAAGUCUGGCAGAGGAAACAAGAAGUUCUGCUUUGGCCAUGUUAAGUUUGAGAUGCCUAUUAGAUAUUCCAAGUGGAGAUGUCAAAUAUGCAGUUGGAUAUAUGAGUUCUGGGAAGAGGGCCAGCCUUGAGCUAUAAUUUGGAGAGUCAUCAGCUUAUAGGUGACAUUUAAAGCAAUGGGACUGGAUGAGAUCACCACUGAGGGCGGAGUACGUGUAGAUGGAAGUAAUGCUUAUUCAGCUAGCAAUAUUCUCUGAGCGUUUACUAUGGGCCAGGCCCGGAGCUAGGUGCUAGGUACAGAGAUGGACUUCCUUUGGCACCUGCCCCAGAGAAGCUCUAUUACUUACUUAAUUUUCCUGCCUAAGUGCUUUGGCCAUGUAGAGGAUGAGCCUUGAGUUCCUACCCUGUCUUUUAGUCACUUAGUCCUUUUUUUCUCUUUUUUCUUUUUUUGAGACAGAGUUUCGUUCUUGUUGCCCAGGCUGGAGUGCAAUGGCAUGAUCUUGGCUCACCACAACCUCCGCCUCCUGGGUUCAAGCAAUCCUCCUGUCUCAGCCUCCUCAGUAGGUGGGAUUACCGGCAUGCACCACCACAUCGGGCUAAUUUUUUGUAUUUUUAGUUGACAUGGGGUUUCUCCAUGUUGGUCAGGCUGGCCUUGAACUCCCGACCUCAGGUGAUCCACCCGCCUCGGCCUCCCAAAGUGCUGGGAUUACCUGCGUGAACCACCGCACCCUGCAUCAUUUUUUCAGCAGACAUUUGUUGAGCACCUGCUUGAUACAAGGCACCCAUCUAGGCACAAGGGACAUGAAAGGAAGCGAGUCAGACACAGUUCCUAUCCUUUUGGAGUUUAGAUUUUAUGUGUGGAGACAGACAUUGAACAGGAUGCACACAGGAUCACAGGAUGUGACAAAUGCAGUGGAGGAGAAAGAUAGGCUGGUGUGAGAGCUGUUAAUGGGGGCUCUGCUCUAGCCGGAGAGGCAAGGAAGGCUUUUCCAGGAGUCACAUUAGAGGAACAAUCUAUACAAGCAGGGAACUAGGCUGGGGGAAGUGCAGGGAGCUUUUUAGGUGGAAAGAACAGCAUGUUCAAAGGCCUGAAGCUGGAAGGAGGCUGGCUGACUUGGCUCCAGAGAAGCUGUUGGGGGAGUGUGGGAGAGACAAGACAGGGAGUAGGGGUGGGGAGAAGCCAGACCUUUGGAGUCUUGUAAGUCUGGUUAAGACACGUGGACUGUCUUCUGCGGCCACCAGUGGCUCUGUUGAGGUGGGAAAUUAAAGAAAAGCAAAAUUAAAA
ensembl:lncRNA NRAV negative regulator of antiviral response